CUGUGAACGAGCCAGGACUUUUCCAGUGUGAGUCAGGAGGUCAGAAGCUUGUUGGAAGAAGACAGGACUCGAAGUUGGUUUUGCAGGAGAACAACCUUUAUGGCAGCUGGCCCCAGGCUUCUGGAAUUCAAGACUGCAUUCCAGUGGCCUCAACUCUACAUCUACUUUAGAAGGCUGCUGAAGGAACAAAUGGCUUCAGAAGCAACAGGGCAGGGCUGCUUAGGGCUGUGCAGUCCUAAUUUACCCAGAGGAGACUGGGGGUUUCAGGGGUGGGGGGCAAGGGAGGAGGGUGAGGGUGGUAAGGGGCAGGCCUUACUAACACAGUUCCACUUUUAUCUGCUUUUUUUUUUUUUAAUUUUAGGUUUCAGAGAAAGAUUUGAGAAAUGGCUAUUAGUGCUGAAAACAUUAAAUGAGUUGAAAUCACCAA